rnacentral:lncRNA from 1 species
CUCCCUCUUCUUCUUGGUUCUCUCAAGUGGUAACACACCCUGUGUUUGUUUGAGCUGAAACCCCAUUUUCAGAUCUCUCCUCCAAUGGCUAAAACCAGAAACCCGAGCAAGUCAUAAAGGAAAGCUGCACAAAGCAAGACCAGGUACCCCAAAAAUCAGAGAAACCUCCCUCUUUCAGAUCUCUCCUCCAGUGGCUAAAACCAGAAACCCGAGAAAAGUCAUAAAGGAAAGCUGAACAAAGCAAGACCAGGUACCCCAAAAAUCAGAGAAACCUCCUCCUUGGGCGGUUGUGAGAAGCCUUUUGACCUGCAAACACCUCCAGACUCAACAACAGAAGCAGCGAGAACAAACCGUCCA